GGGGUGGUAGCUCAGUUGGUCAGAGCAGUCGACUCAUAAUCGAUCGGUCGCCGGUUCAAGCCCGGCCCACCCCA
rnacentral:tRNA from 1 species